rnacentral:rRNA from 1 species
CCCAGACUCCUACGGGAGGCAGCAGUGGGGAAUAUUGGACAAUGGGGGGAACCCUGAUCCAGCGACGCCGCGUGAGUGAAGAAGUAUUUCGGUAUGUAAAGCUCUAUCAGCAGGGAAGAAAGAAAUGACGGUACCUGACUAAGAAGCCCCGGCUAACUACGUGCCAGCAGCCGCGGUAAUACGUAGGGGGCAAGCGCUAUCCGGAUUUACUGGGUGUAAAGGGGGCGCAGACGGCAGCGCAAGCCAGGAGUGAAAGCCCGGGGCCCAACCCCGGGACUGCUCUUGGAACUGCGCGGCUGGAGUGCAGGAGGGGCAGGCGGAAUUCCUGGUGUAGCGGUGAAAUGCGUAGAUAUCAGGAGGAACACCGGUGGCGAAGGCGGCCUGCUGGACUGCGACUGACGUUGAGGCCCGAAAGCGUGGGGAGCAAACAGGAUUAGAUACCCGGGUA